GACGAACCGUGCGAACGUUGUUCGGAAUCACUGGGCGUAAAGCGCACGUAGGCGGGUUGCUAAGUCAGGGGUGAAAUCCUGGAGCUCAACUCCAGAACUGCCUUUGAUACUGGCGGCCUUGAGUCCGGGAGAGGUGAGUGGAACUGCGAGUGUAGAGGUGAAAUUCGUAGAUAUUCGCAAGAACACCAGUGGCGAAGGCGGCUCACUGGCCCGGUACUGACGCUGAGGUGCGAAAGCGUGGGGAGCAAACAGG
rnacentral:rRNA from 1 species